UACGUAGGGGGCAAGCGUUGUCCGGAAUCAUUGGGCGUAAAGAGCGUGUAGGCGGCCCGAUAAGUCCGCUGUGAAAGUCCAGGGCUCAACCCUGGGAUGCCGGUGGAUACUGUCGGGCUCGAGUCCGGAAGAGGAGUGUGGAAUUCCUGGUGUAGCGGUGAAAUGCGCAGAUAUCAGGAAGAACACCCGUGGCGAAGGCGGCUCUCUGGGACGGUACUGACGCUGAGACGCGAAAGCAUGGGGAGCGAACAGG
rnacentral:rRNA from 1 species